AUCCAGCUGACAAGUCCCAAAUGGGCGAAACGCGUAUCCUGGAU
rnacentral:hammerhead_ribozyme from 1 species